GCCCUUGUGUUGAGCUAACGAGCCCCCUUGUUUGCUGAACUCCUUCCAACCAACACUAAACAAACCCCGCACCCACCGGCUCGAAUAUAUCAUCCCCCAUGCGGAAGCGGAAGGGGUUCAAUAUAGGCUACUCCUAUAACAAUUCCCACCGGUUUGGAAGACUAAACCCACGUCUGGAAUAGCUUGAGGUAGAGACCGGCACGA
rnacentral:rRNA from 1 species